rnacentral:rRNA from 1 species
UACAGAGGUCUCGAGCGUUGUUCGGAUUCAUUGGGCGUAAAGGGUGCGUAGGUGGCGCUGUAAGUCGGGUGUGAAAUCCUGGGGCUUAACCCCGGAACUGCAUUCGAUACUGCCGUGCUUGAGGACUGGAGAGGAGACUGGAAUUUACGGUGUAGCGGUGAAAUGCGUAGAUAUCGUAAGGAAGACCAGUGGCGAAGGCGGGUCUCUGGACAGUUCCUGACGCUGAGGCACGAAGGCCAGGGGAGCAAACGGG